rfam:Trichobilharzia regenti genome assembly, scaffold: TRE_contig0005908
GUACCGCCGAAGAGUCCCAAACUAGGACGAAACAGCUGUCCAGUAC